rnacentral:misc_RNA from 1 species
CAACUUCCACCUGGCUUACCUUCUCAAUUUUGCGUCAAGGGGUGUAUCUCCUUGAGCGUAUUGUGGGUUUCCUGUGUUGAUUUCCAUUUUGAUGGUAUCGUUUUGGCUGAUCGUAGACCCUUUUCAUCUUGUUUUGCCUUUGUGAUUCAAGAUGAACCAUGAUGGCAUCUCUUUGUUCCGCUAUGUUUGAUGAAAAAUGCAUUGAUGUUGUGGCCCAUUGAGCGUUGCUUGGUAUCUUGGAUAUGGAACAUUAUGUGGGCAUUGGGUCUCUUAUGGCUCAUGUUAUGUCCUUGUCCAGUGUUCUUCGAAAUGACAGUUCAUGCGCGCCUAGGCUCGUACCUGCGUGAUGUUCUUUGUCAAAGAGGAAUGCUACCUGGUUGAUCCUGCCAGUAGUCAUAUGCU